UAACAACCCUCAUUCUACACAGGGCACCAUUGGCAUGCAUGGUGCUUUACAGGCAUCACAAGACAAAGACCUUGCCUCGAGGAGUUUACAAUCUAAUGCAGAGAGGGGACACAAUGAAUAAAAGACACACUGCAUAGAGUGACUCGAUUCCAGUGCUUCUACUACCAGGCAAGAUUGAAGGCAAACCAGGAAGAGAGAGAAACAUCGCCAGAUGGACUGAAAUCCACAGGAGAGCAGAGGUUUUACAACUUUGUCGCAAGUGCGAAAGACAGAAGGUGUUGGUUGACAACCUCCCUAUCAGAGAUGGCACUCGAAGAAGAAGAAUACUUUCAAAAGUGAUAUCUGCUGCUGUGUGUAUUCCAAGGCCACUCUGCUUCUUUGUCAUAGCCAGAGGAAGAGGAAGAGGAAAGAGGGGAAAGUUCAUUCAUGAAGGGGCAGAGAAUGGAUGUUCCUUUGGACAAUAUAGAUGCAACGUUAGGGCCCAAUUCUACUUCUUUUUCCCAUGCUGAUUAACUCCAACCCUGUGAGUUAUUUAAUUGACUUCAA